GGAUGUAAGGGCAAUCUGGUGGUGACAUCUCACCCCAUUGAUCACCAGGAUUGAUUUGGUUGAUCUGACUGGCUAGGCAGAUGCCCCCUUCCUCCCUCACUGCAUGCUUGGUCAAAAAGGAUGACUAUCCCCACUAGAGGAGGACCAUUCUUCAGUCAAGGGUAUACAAGUAGCUGUGAUCAAAUAGCCAAUGGAAUCCUAAGCAAAAAGAAUAAAGCUGGAGGCAUCACAUAAGUGACCUUAAAUU
rnacentral:snRNA from 1 species